GGAAAGAGGCAGCAAAGGAUAGCGAGACGCCUGGCCUGCCUCACGGUUUCGGAGAGUCACAGUUCCCCACAGAGACCCGCGUACCCUCUCCUUCACGCAGUAUGGACAUGCAGAAGAGGGCCAAUAUACCACAUUGACUGAAGUCUGCCCAACCAGCCAGAGGAAAACUGAAGCACAUCAGCAUCAAAUGUUGAAAGGAGGGUGGGAAGUCCACAGGAAGAAAAACAGCAUGAGGUCAUCCUGCCUCUUGAAACAAGAUCAUUGAACUUUGGAAGAUAUAAGCAAGAACAGAAGCCAUCUUUGGCAACCAUCUCUAGUUAGAUACAAGGGAACAGGACUCUUGCAAGCUGAGAAAGAUGGAUCCUUCAACCCAGGGGGGUUGAGGUCUUUUGAAACAGAAUAUAGGUAAGAAACUUGCUCAGGCAGAGAUCUUUCACCUAGGAAGACAAGGGAAACCAGGCCCUUGUUCUUCUAUGGAAGGUCCUGACAGAGAGAGUCAGGCACAGCUGGAAAGAAAAGUGGUAAGAAGCCAUCUUGAUCAAAGCCUGUAUUUUGCUUGAUUAAGUUUUAGAAAUGCACUUUUUACUUUUAUUUGCUUGUAACCCUUUCUAACUUUAUUCUUCUUCCUUGGCAUCACUUAUCUCCUAUUGUUAAUACAUUUGUUUUUUGUUUUUACUAUAAACCAGCUCAGUGCUGUGUUUGAAGGAAACAGUGUAUUUACAGCUUAUUAACUUAACUGGGGCAAUGUGCUUUUGACUCUUUAAAGUAGCAACAAACAUUAUUUCUCUGAGUGGUCCAGGGGAGGACUGGACACUUCAGGGCACAUGGUUUUGGGGAAAUUCAGGACUGGGAGUGUGUUGGAAUCACCCUGCUGGUUAUAACUGCUGGAAGGCAGAGUGGGGCUGUAGACAGGCUACUGGGGUCAGAGCUGUUGCACGACGGCUGUCUAGCACACAGACCCUCAGGGUGUGAUUUGCAUGCUUGUAGACUGGCCGUGAGCAUCCCAGGCUGUUAGCUACAGCCGUAAAGUGUUAUAAGGAACCCAGGGUUGCAGGGCAAGUGGUGGAACAACCCCUUACUGGUCUGAUUAGCACCCCCCAAGUUUGACAGUUACUUUGCUUUUAAAGAAGGUUUUCAAACUUGUUUUGGAAAGGUCUGGGAUCUUCUUUUCAUUUUGCUAGUGUGUCUACUUCUGCACAUGCUCACAUUGCUAUAGGGAGUAUAUGGGGUACAAAUGUCUCUGCAUGCAUUAUUUCUUAUACAAAUGAUAGGUGCGGAUGUCAAUUUACAGGCAAAUAAAAGGAUUUACAAAGUAGGCUGGAUAGAACACAAUUAGUGAUGACAGCAAACAAAAUGGAGGGAGCAAGGGCCUGAGAGAGUAAGGGCAAUGACUGUGAAUGUCAUGACAUGAGCUCAGUGUUAUGUAUACAUCUUGUUGCUCUUUGAGUUAAAAAUUAAUUUGUAAAUAUAAUAGGUAAAGAUUUUAGGGUCGAGUCUGAAAUACAGGGCAGGGUGGAGGCCCAUGAUAUAUUUGAGUUGUAAGUCAUUUAUUUUGGUUUCAUUUUCAUGGCUCGCUAUAAUGCCAGUUCAAAGCCUGGGAACCAAAGACAAUGCAGAAUGCUGAGGUAUAAAAGCGAAGAAUGGUGAGCGCAUGGAAUCUCCUUCCAACUAGUCAGUGUUCCUAUUAUUCUGUGUGGACUGCCUUCAUGCAAAGUAUAUGUGUGCCCUUGGAAUGACUGCUAUGGCGUUCUUGAAAACUGGAGAGAUGCAUGACUCCUCUGAGUCUGGCUUCAGUCCAAAUUUCCUAGAGUCACAGACAUAACCCACAGGAGCUGACUCACCACCGCUGAGCAUUGUUGUUAAUUUUUUCUGGCACCAACACAUGUGCAGUGACUUUUUCCCCCACCAAAGAACACAUAGUCACAUCAGAGGAAACAUUUUCUCCUACCAGUGAACACUCUUUUACCUGUUCACUAACACACUGCAGCCAAGAUUUUUCAUAGGCUGUGACAAUGCCUGGGCCUGCCACAUUUUUAUGAGAAUUACUUAUCCUUGCAUAUAGUUUAAGAAAUGAGCAUUCUGGCUCUAAUUCAGGAAAAUAUCCAUAUUUAGGGCAGCACUUUAGCACAUGUUUUAGUCCAGCUGAAGUCAAUGGGACUUAGGCACAUGCUUAAAGUAAAGAAUAUACAGGGCCAGAUUCAGAUCUCAUUUACAUGGGUGCAAAUCCUGUGAUCAUCAGAAUUUGGCUAAAAUAUUUAAGUGAUUAAAUAGUAACAAAGUUACAGUAGGGCUGAUUCUCCUCACUUGCACUGUUGUAAUUCAGGAGUAACUAGGCUGAAAAUCACUGUGGUGUCAAAUCAGUGAGAGAGAAGAAAUCUGGGAUUUCUAGAUUAUGUACCUCAGUAGAUUUACAAGACCCAUACGAAGUUAAAGAUGGGCUUCAGACAUGUUUUCUGGAUGAUGAUCAUAAGUGCUACUGGAGCUCUGGGGCUGGAUCUGGCCUAUUAUAGGGAUAGACAGUGCAAAAUGACUUUAUGGCAGGGUGGGCAAAGUAUAAAGGUGUCGUAGCAGCUUUACACUCCCUACUUUCAGCAUAGUGGGUCUCUUGGUGCCACCUGAGGACAGAUGUGUGACAGGGAUCAGAGGGAUGGGACUAGAACACAAUGUGUUCUGCUGAUCCCUGGCUGGCAUAAUGGUCCUCCCGAGGAGUCUAUUCUGGCCAGAGUAGGGUAGAGCAGCUCUGUGGUUACUUGUGACAGGGUCUGUUUGGCUCCCUCAGUCAGCCCAGAUUAAGGGGAGGCCUAAAGGUUGCUUAGAGCCACCUUUGCUUCCCUCCUACCCCAACUAGCUACAAUGAAUAUGAGUUCAGUGUAGUUUGGGAUUGACUUGUGGGUGUGGAUCAGUAUAGAUAGUCAUUAGAUGUGAAGAGCAAAUCCAAGUUCCCUCAGAGUUUGAAUGUUUGUUUGAAUCUGGAGUUUUGGUUCAUGCCUUUCUGGACCUGAAACAUGAUUCGGUCAAAACAGCAAUAAUUUUCCUACAAAAGACAAGCAUGGGAGAGGUUUCCAGCUGGACAAUUUGAUUUUUAAAUAUGUGUUCUUGUUUUUAAUUAAUCAUUUAAACAAAAGUGAGUGUCUAAGAAAUAGAAUACGGGUCAUGACACACUUUUGGUUUCUCAAACUGCUCAGUUUCCUCAUUGAACCAAAUAGUUCUUAAAAUAACAUCAUCUGAAAACCUCGGCAAUCUGUUUCCCUGUCUCUUACCCUUUUAACAAGAACUAAGAAGUCUUUCAGCAUUAUGAAGGAGGGCUGCUAAAUAACAGCCAGAACAAGAGCGCCUCAGUCUCUACUGCUCUAUCUGGGGACCUAUUGGACUAUUAUUAGCAUGGCAUACAAAAUAGAUUUUGUAAAUAUUUGAAAAGCCUUGCCAAGCUGUGUUGCAAAGACACAUGCUCUUUUAUAAGUUCCAUGAUCAUUAAACACAGACAAAAAGGAAUGAAAAGGCUGAUGGCAAUUCACAUUUAUCACUCUGUUUUGUCCUUGUCUGUAUAAUAAGAUGUGUCCUUAUUUCUUGGAUCAAAAUUUCAAAUGCUGUCUCUGAAACCCUGGAAAGGAAUUUUGUUGCAAGUGCUAAUCAGAUAACUGCACAUCUAAGUCCCCAGUUUUCGUGUGCAGAAGCCCCCUGUUUUCUGUGCACAAUUUGGAGGGUUAGUCUGAAAAUUCGGCCCCUCUGCUCUAGUGUAACUUGAGAUGCAGAACAUUUAUUGCAAAGGAUUUCCCUUGUAUCUGCUGUGGCUUAUACAAAUAUAUAAGUAGUGAAUUGUAAUCUUUAUUUUAGUCACUAGAGGGAGGGCAACUACAUGGAAUUAUUCACCUGUUUUACUUCUUUUUUAUCAUCUACUCAUCUGUGCAUCCACCUCAAGCAAGAAAGUAAAUGCUCUUUUUGGUGGUUUUAGUGAGAAAACUGUGUUCUA